rnacentral:rRNA from 1 species
UACAGAGGGCGCGAGCGUUAUUCGGAAUUACUGGGCGUAAAGCGCACGUAGGCGGCUUGGUAUGUCGGGUGUGAAAUCCCCGGGCUCAACCUGGGAACUGCAUCCGAAACUGCCUUGCUCGAGUAUGGGAGAGGGAAGUGGAAUUUCCGGUGUAGCGGUGAAAUGCGUAGAUAUCGGAAGGAACAUCAGUGGCGAAGGCGACUUCCUGGACCAAUACGGACGCUCAGGCGCGAAAGCGUGGGGAGCAAACAGG